CACGUAGGGGGCAAGCGUUGUCCGGAUUUAUUGGGCGUAAAGAGCUCGUAGGUGGUUCGGUAAGUCGGGUGUUAAACCCCCAGGCUCAACCUGGGGACGCCACUCGAUACUGCUGUGACUAGAGUCCGGUAGGGGAGCGUGGAAUUCCUGGUGUAGCGGUGAAAUGCGCAGAUAUCAGGAGGAACACCAGCGGCGAAAGCGGCUCUCUGGAACGGUACUGACGCUGAGACGCGAAAGCGUGGGGAGCGAACAGG
rnacentral:rRNA from 1 species